rfam:Danio rerio chromosome 7 genomic contig CTG751, GRCz11 reference primary assembly.
GAACACAGCCAUAUCACCCUGCAGCCCAAGACCGGUUACUUGCUAAAGCUAAGCAGGGCUGAGCCUGGUCAGUACCUGGAUGGGAGACUACCACAUGGGAAAACUAGGUUGCUGUUGAAA